CCGGGUGUGUAAGCGCAGCGAUGCGUUGAGCUAACCGGUACUAAUGAACCGUGAGACUUAACCUUACAACGCCGAAG
rnacentral:rRNA from 1 species